rnacentral:rRNA from 1 species
CCUACGGGUGGCAGCAGUGAGGAAUAUUGGUCAAUGGACGAGAGUCUGAACCAGCCAAGUAGCGUGAAGGAUGACUGCCCUAUGGGUUGUAAACUUCUUUUAUAUGGGAAUAAAAUGUUCCACGUGUGGGAUUUUGUAUGUACCAUAUGAAUAAGGAUCGGCUAACUCCGUGCCAGCAGCCGCGGUAAUACGGAGGAUCCGAGCGUUAUCCGGAUUUAUUGGGUUUAAAGGGAGCGUAGGUGGAUUGUUAAGUCAGUUGUGAAAGUUGUCGGCUCAACCGUAAAAUUGCAGUUGAAACUGGCAGUCUUGAGUACAGUAGAGGUGGGCGGAAUUCGUGGUGUAGCGGUGAGAUGCUUAGAUAUCAAGAAGAACUCCGAUUGCGAAGGCAGCUUACUGGACUGCAACUGACACUGAGGCUCGAAAGCGUGGGUAUCAAACAGGAUUAGAUACCCUUGUAGUC